ACGGAGGGGGUUAGCGUUGUUCGGAAUUACUGGGCGUAAAGCGUACGUAGGCGGAUCAGAAAGUAGGGGGUGAAAUCCCAGGGCUCAACCCUGGAACUGCCUCCUAAACUCCUGGUCUUGAGUUCGAGAGAGGUGAGUGGAAUUCCAAGUGUAGAGGGGAAAUUUCGUAGAUAUUUGGAGGAACACCAGUGGCGAAGGCGGCUCACUGGCUCGAUACUGACGCUGAGGUACGAAAGUGUGGGGAGCAAACAGGAUUAGAUACCCUGGUAGUCCACACCGUAAACGAUGAAUGCCAGUCGUCGGGCAGUAUACUGUUCGGUGACACACCUAACGGAUUAAGCAUCC
rnacentral:rRNA from 1 species